rnacentral:lncRNA from 1 species
GUAUUAUCCUGAUAAGAAUACUCGAGACGAUACUUCUCCAGCCCAACACCCCUCCGCCACCCCCCUCACCCAGUUGCAGUAACACACGCCUACUGGCGCCCCUCCGAGUUCGUGCAAGAUUACUUCUACAAACCUUCAAACAGGUAGCUUGGCAUUUAUCAUUCAAAUAAGCACGCAGUUGCCCGGCCUAGCCGACGUAUUCUAAAUGUCAUUUGACAGCCAAAAAAGCAGGGAUACUUAUUUGUCGGGUUUCUAGAAAUCCGAUCCGCUCGGUUGGAGUGGAAAUGAUCAACGGCCGAGAUCUUUACUCAAGUGUGACCAUGAGCUGGGGUAGAAUGGUCCCAUGACUUGAGAUCGGUAACAUUGAGGACAUCUGAGCUAUGUACAGUUACAUGCGGUCUAGGUGCAUGGAAUUGGGGUGCGAAUGACGUGUUUUUGUUCUUGUGAAACGUUACGGACAUGCCGGCUGGUGCUACGUUAUUGGCUGAGGGCAAGGGUUCAAAUUCUGACCGCAGAAUCAGAAUCAUAUAUUCAUGAGAGAUUAAAAAUAAUUAAGUCACUGUAUCAACCAAACCCUUCAACACACUGGCAAGUUGAGGGAUCCGACUUUCGUUGCGUUGGUGCUUCCAGUUCCAUCAUGGCGUGAUUUGCCUCCAGUCAUAUAGCUGUUAGCAGAUCGCCAGCUUAGGGUUAUGGAUAUACAUAUCACCCCAAACGUACUCGUACACAAACGCUUCUUUUGGCGGAAGUGGGAGACUAGGAGCCCCUAUAAGGGACCCUAACACUUCUUGAGAGUACGUGGUCGGUCUCCAGGGGCAUUGGUAGACACUACGGGCUAGUCGCGGCUUGAGGCUUUGAGAAGGGCUAGCCCUAUUCGACCAAAUGAUUACCGUAAACCAUUAAGUAUUUCAGAAGCCAUCGGGACAAGAUGUUAUACAACUCUCGCAAUACUACUUGGUCAAAACGAUAGAAUCAACUAACAACCUUGUAUGCUUGGCUUCUAACAAUGAUCCGGGCGAUCGUACAGCAUACGGCAGCCGACGGGAGGAAAGCCCAUGCAGUGAACAGAGUCGCAGAUGGUCGCCACUUAAAUUCGCAAGAGAUCGAUCUCGUAGGCAUAGAAUCUGACCAUUAGAGAAGAGUUCCAGCUCAAGAGCAAACAAUUGCAAGGAAUAUGAAACAGAGAAUUUAGAAAGAGGAUUUCAUGCAUUAGUGAGAAUUUCAUGUCUAAAGCCUACCAAUCAACGAUUGGGUCGUCCCGAUUUACCACUUCGACUGAAACGUAGUGAGUAUACCCAAGCGCUUAUCGUGGUAGUUGGUUAACUAGUUAAUCUAUCUAGGUAUAUAACUUACUUAGCGACAUGAUUAGAUUUAUUCCUGUAAGAAGGUUAGAAGGGAGUACGUU